UACAGAGGGGGCAAGCGUUAUUCGGAAUUAUUGGGCAUAAAGGGCGCGUAGGCGGCUUGGCAAGUGGAUGGUGAAAUCCCUCGGCUUAACCGAGGAACUGCCGUCCAAACUGCUUCGCUUGAGACCGGGAGAGGUGAGUGGAAUUCCCAGUGUAGCGGUGAAAUUCGUAGAUAUUCGCAAGAACACCAGUGGCGAAGGCGGCUCACUGGCCCGGUACUGACGCUGAGGUGCGAAAGCGUGGGGAGCAAACAGG
rnacentral:rRNA from 1 species